rnacentral:rRNA from 1 species
CUCGUAGGCGGUUCGUCGCGUCCGGUGUGAAAGUCCAUCGCUUAACGGUGGAUCCGCGCCGGGUACGGGCGGGCUUGAGUGCGGUAGGGGAGACUGGAAUUCCCGGUGUAACGGUGGAAUGUGUAGAUAUCGGGAAGAACACCAAUGGCGAAGGCAGGUCUCUGGGCCGUUACUGACGCUGAAGAGCGAAAGCGUGGGGAGCGAACA